rnacentral:tRNA from 1 species
UCCCUGGUGGCCUAGUGGUUAACAGUUGAGCAUUGUCACUGCUGUGGCUUAGGUUCAAUCCCUGACCUAGGAA